CCUACGGGUGGCUGCAGUGAGGAAUAUUGGUCAAUGGACGAGAGUCUGAACCAGCCAAGUAGCGUGAAGGAUGACUGCCCUAUGGGUUGUAAACUUCUUUUAUAUGGGAAUAAAACAGGGUAUGCAUACCCUCUUGUAUGUACCAUAUGAAUAAGGAUCGGCUAACUCCGUGCCAGUAGCCGCGGUAAUACGGAGGAUCCGAGCGUUAUCCGGAUUUAUUGGGUUUAAAGGGAGCGUAGGUGGAUUGUUAAGUCAGUUGUGAAAGUUUGCGGCUCAACCGUAAAAGUGCAGUUGAAACUGGCAGUCUGGAGUACAGGAGAGGUGGGCGGAAUUCGUGGUGUAGCGGUGAAAUGCUUAGAUAUCACGAAGAACUCCGAUUGCGAAGGCAGCUUACUGGACUGCAACUGACACUGAUGCUCGAAAGUGUGGGUAUCAAACAGGAUUAGAUACCCGGGUAGUC
rnacentral:rRNA from 1 species